GAGUCACAGAACUUACAGGAUACAGAACGUGUCUGUUUCCCACUCUGCUAAACGCCAACAUGCAGAGCUAUGGUUUACAUUAGAAUCCCAGCGGAGAAAAAACAAGAAUUCUUCAGCUAAAGAAGAAGAUAAGAACACUUGGAAAACACUACUGGUACUAUUGAGGAGACCAACUGUUGAUCUACGGACAGGGGAACAUUUUGAACGACACGACAGUUCGGAACUUAAAGUGGAUGAUUGCGGCUCGGGCAUUCCUGAGUCAAGAGGGAUACUGCAAUCGUCUUACUCUUAAAAUUGCGUGGGGGUGCCGACCUACCCAGUCCCAACUAUGAGAGUGAAGACAAUGAAGAUGAGCGUCUCAGCAUCAAGGAUAUUCAAGAUUUAGACAGAAGUGGAGAGACAAGACGGCCCAGUGGAUCUCUUCAAAUGAUUUGCACGACACAAUCAUGCAACAUUUUGGGAAGAAAAAAGUCGAGAGAUAUUUUACGAAUGUGCCACCAUUUGUUUUUGUCCUAUUUCUAUUCCAUUUUCGGUGGGUUUAUUCACUACUUUUGUGGCAAAUGGAAACGCUAUAUACCUAUUUUGCUGUUAAAUGAUUAUUUAAAUGUUUGUUUUUUUCUGAUCUUGAUUAUUUCUUAUUGGUUGUCAGGAUCCAUAUACUGUUUAUAUAGUGACCAAGAAAUGUAAACAAAAAUCUAUAUAUUUAUGUU